rnacentral:rRNA from 1 species
CCCUACGGGGGGCAGCAGUGGGGGAUAUUGCACAAUGGGGGGAACCCUGAUGCAGCGACGCCGCGUGAGCGAAGAAGUACCUCGGUAUGUAAAGCUCUAUCAGCAGGGAAGAAAAUGACGGUACCUGACUAAGAAGCCCCGGCUAACUACGUGCCAGCAGCCGCGGUAAUACGUAGGGGGCAAGCGUUAUCCGGAUUUACUGGGUGUAAAGGGAGCGUAGGUGGCAUGGCAAGCCAGAAGUGAAAACCCGGGGCUUAACCCCGCGGAUUGCUUUUGGAACUGUCAGGCUGGAGUGCAGGAGGGGG